GUCUCUUAUGCUAUUGGAGUUUCUCAUCCAUUAUCUAUCUCCAUUUCCAUUAUGGUACCUCUCAGAAGAGUGAGAGAGAGCUAUUAGAGAUUGUGAGAAGAAUUUGAUCUUUCGCCCGGGGGUCAUUGUCAGGGAUCUGGAUCUGAAGAAGCCAAUUUAUCAGAGGACUGCAGCCUAUGGCCACUUUGUAGGGACAGCUUCCCAUGGGAAGUGCCCAAAAAGCUUAAAUAUUGAAAGUGUUAGCCUUUUUUCCCCAGACUUGUUGGCGUAGGCUACAGAGAAGCCUUCAAGCUCUGAGGAAAGGGCCCUUCUUCCUAAAUUUUCCUGUCCUCUUUCAGCUCCUGAUCAGUUGCAGUCACUCUAGUCAAUGACAUGAAUUUUAGCUUUUGUGGGGACUGUAAGUUGGGCUUGCUAUUCUGUCCCUAGGUGUUUUGUUCACCAUUAAUGAAUUUAGUGAGCAUAGGUGAUCCAUGUAACUGCCUAGAACAAACAACACUAGUAAAUAAUGCUUUGAAAUUGAACCUUUGUGCCCUAUCACCCAGCCCUCCAAAAGUCCUUAUUGCAUUUACUUUCCCACCAAAUGCUGAAAAUGUCCUUGUAAUGUGCACAUAAAGUACUUGUAGUUCCACUAUAGCCUCUGUCUGGCAAUGCCACAGCCCUGGCAGCAUGAAUUUGUAAUGUCUUGAGCUCUUAUAUGAAUGUGAAGCCCUCCCCUUAUAGUUCCUGUAACUUGAUCCAUUUCUAAUUAUGUAGCUCUUUGUCAGGGGAGUGUUCCCUAUCCAAUCAGUCUUGCAUGUAAUGCAAGUUCCAGUUGGAGCUCUAGCCUGACAUUUAAAAAAAAAAAAGGCAGUUACCAUUAAAUCAUCUCCCUGGUGCUUAUGCUCUUAAUUGCCACCUCUUUAACAGCACCAAAACAAAAUAUCUCCAUUUUCAGCUGUCUUGGAGGACGUACAUAAUAAGGUUUUUAUUUAGUAAACCAAUCCUAUGCGUGGUUUCCGCACUAGCCAAACCUCACCAACUCCUAUUCCAGAAAAAAACAGGCACUUGGCACCCUUGUGAUGUCAUACAGAGAAGUUACAGGGCAGUACCUGAGGGUCUGUAGGUUGCACACUUUGGUACCAGAUAACUUUUUUUUUCUUUAUAAGAAAGACUGAGUACUCCACACUGCACAGUAACUCCUCCCAGGGUUUUAACUUUGUUUUAUUUUCAAAACCAGGUCCAAUGAGCUUUCUGAACAGCUGGUGUAGCUACAGAGAAACCAGCUUCCUUCAGAGAGCAGUGCUUUUGGCGGGGAGGAGGAAAUCCCUUCAUACUUGAACAUUUUCUAAUUGCUUAUUUAUUGUAUUCUGAGGUAUGGCGUAAGUACAGAGAAGCCAUCACCUCAGAUGGCAGCUUUUAAAAGAUUUUCUUUCCUCAACACCAUGAUUCCUUUAACAUGUUUCCAGCAUUCCCAGGUAGGCCAAGGUGUCCUACAGAAAAACCUUGGGUUAGACCUACAGGGGGUCUGGCUGGUGUUUUAAUCAGAAGGAGGGCAGAGCUGGUGCAGCUGGCCAUGGAGAAAGCUGACUUGGCUGGUGUGGUACAGAGAAGCCAGCUCGUUUACAUGCUUACUCCAUGACUGCUUGCCCUAAGCAGAAAGUGCCUUUCAGGAUCUAUUUUUGGAGGUUUAUUACAUAUGUCUGGUUCUCAAUUCCAACAGUUUAAUGAAGAUCUAAAUAAAUGCUAGGUUCUACC